GAUGAACGCUAGCGGGAGGCUUAACACAUGCAAGUCGAGGGGCAGCAUAGGGUAGCAAUACUCUGAUGGCGACCGGCAAACGGGUGAGUAACGCGUAUGCAACCUACCCUGUACAGGGGGAUAACCCGGAGAAAUUCGGACUAAUAUCCCGUAAUAAUAUCCGGAGGCAUCUUUGGAUAUUUAAAGUUUCGACGGUACGGGAUGGGCAUGCGUAACAUUAGCUGGUUGGUAAGGUAACGGCUUACCAAGGCUAUGAUGUUUAGGGGUCCUGAGAGGGUGGUCCCCCACACUGGUACUGAGACACGGACCAGACUCCUACGGGAGGCAGCAGUGAGGAAUAUUGGUCAAUGGGCGCAAGCCUGAACCAGCCAUCCCGCGUGCAGGAAGACGGCCCUAUGGGUUGUAAACUGCUUUUCCAGGGUAGAGGAAACUUACGCACGUGUUGCGUGACUGACGGUACCCUGGGAAUAAGCAUCGGCUAACUCCGUG
rnacentral:rRNA from 1 species